GACGUAGGGCGCGAGCGUUGUCCAGAUUUAUUGGGCGUAAAGAGCUCGUAGGCGGCUUGUUGCGUCGACUGUGAAAACCUGCGGCUCAACCGUGUGGUCUGCAGUCGAUACGGGCAGGCUGGAGUUCGGUGGGGGAGACUGGAAUUCCUGGUGUAGCGGUGAAAUGCGCAGAUAUCAGGAGGAACACCGGUGGCGAAGGCGGGUCUCUGGGCCGAUACUGACGCUGAGGAGCGAAAGCGUGGGGAGCGAACAGG
rnacentral:rRNA from 1 species